GCUGAGCUCUGGAGGGAAUGUGGGGUACGGUUACGUAAGCGAGUUCAGCCUUACAGUCUGGGCGAGCUCUACUUGGUUUUGAAGCCUGGCGUCUCAGGCGGUUCAAGAAACCCGGCGCUGUUGGCGUUUUAGAACCAGCACUCUGGUUCGGAUGUGUUUUGUGUUUGGCGCUUUGGACGGUGUUGUCUGUGAUGUGAUCGAUCUGGCACUUUGGAUGAUCAUAUGGUUCAAGUUAGUUCGGCGCUCCGAACGGUGUUCAGCAUUUGAGUUCGACUGUACCCUACCCCUACUGUGAACUCCUCCCAAUGCGACCCAAAUUGCAUUGCAACGGUCUGAAGCAUGGUGUUCUCGCGGCAUGGUGUUAAUGUGAGAUGACGGCAGUCAGUGCAAGCAACACAGACAGACAGUCAUCAAGUUUAUUCUGUGGAGAGUGGAGACACAGUCAGAUAAAUCCUGAGCUGUCAACUAAACAACAUAGCAAGGUGGCACCAGACGAUCUGGUUGCUGUGGCAAGUGCAGUGGGUGUAAACUGGGAGGAGCUCGGUGCCAGACUAGCACCAGUCAUGUUUAGUAUCAUAAAGACGGAACAGAUGAAAGCUCAGUAUGGUAAACCUUUCAUUCAGUCUCGUUCAAUGUUGGAGGAAUGGGCGAACGGAUUGGACAAGGAAGCUAUCAACGGGUCACUGAUUGAAUCUCUAUUGAAGACGAACGUGAGACGACAAGUCAAUGAAAUAUUUGGAGAAGAUCUCGUGACGAAUGUGGAAACAAAUGGCUGAUGAAAGAGUCAGAUAUGAAUAUGUACAGUCUCUUGGGAGAGAUACAUGUAUACGAAACUGGUGCAACAUUGCAUAUGGGGAACGUAUGCAGAGAGUCGCUCAUGUGUAUAAUGUGACGAGCGAUCGUGAGUGUGUGAAUCUCUAUGCAGAGUUAGCGCUUGCAAACAGCCUGUGUAUAGGAUCGCUGACGAACAACAAGCGAUUGGAUGCCGUCAAGAGAGUAAGAGAUCACAUCGGUUGUGGUAUCCAGAUUUUGUGUGAAGACGAUGGAGUUUGGAUCUACAAUCAGAGCGACUACCCGAUCUUUGCUUAGAGCUUGACUCUGGACUAUAUGUCGAAGGGCCGACUACUCGCAGUCAAGAAAGUCCAAAUCGGCUACUCGACUCGAGUCUUUGACUUUGAGAGAUGUCGAGAGAUGCUCGAAUGCGAGAAGACGCCACAGACUGGAAAAUACGUGACGAUCCGUUCUCAUUUAGAGUUAGCUUCGGGAAAGGCUGGGGACCUAGCUACACGAAGCAAUAUCCGAGCAGUUGCCUAUGCUGGAUUGAAGUAUUUCUUAAUGUCACACGGUAGCAGCACUUGCAUGACGCUAAACAACAAGGCAUGCCAGGAGUAAAGCUGCAACUAGGUUACAUGUGGAGCAAUCCAAUUCACAUUGGAGCUGAUUCUGAAUUUGUGUCUCUGAAUGGAAAUUAUCUAUGUGCCUGGUUUCCUGCAAACAGUGAGUUUGCUGUCCUUUUGGAGCCUCAUAUGUACUUAGCACCCGAUACAAGGUUACUACAAUGUGAACAGUCAAAGUGUUUAGCAGAGAGUCUUCCAUUGUAUGCAAUCGAGUCAACCUCCGCUAUUUCUCAUCUUCUGAGUGACACUCAUGUUGAUGAAUGUCUUCAAAAGUUUGUGGUGUGCAAGAAAUGGAUGUGCAAGUCAACAUCAGCGACUGUUGGCAAGCUAAUUGAACGACUCAGUGCUAUUUAUCGAAACGAUGAAGCAGAAACUCAAGUGCAGGAGAGUGUGAGACGAAGACAGUCAGUGUAGACAGACAGUCUUCCAGUACAUUUUUGUGUGGAGUUGAGACAUAGCCAGAUAGAAACUGAAUUGGCAAGGAGAGGGCAUUGCAAGGUGAGAUCUGGUUGCUGUAGCAGUCCUUGUGGGUGUGUUGUGGGACAAGCUUGCCACCGAGCUAGCACCAGAUUUGUGUAGCACUGGAAAGAUAGACCAGAUUAAAAUACAAUUUUAUUUUAGUGUUUCAGUCAAUGCAGUGCAAUGUUGGAAAAAUGGUCUAGCAAUUGGGACAAGAAAGCAACCAAUGGGGCACUGAUGGAGGCUUUGUUAUAGACGGACAUGAAAACACAAGCAAACAAAAUAUUUGGAAAAGAACUCGUGAAAUAUGUGAAAUCCAACCAUUUGCAUUAGAGAUGCAGUAAGAGUACAUGUAUUGUAUUGCUAAUUAACUUAAUUGACAGUUCCAUCUCAUGUAAUCUCAAUGUGAUUAUCAUGACACAGCCCACUCCA